GCAGUUUGUGACAUCUCUCUGUAUGACAUCUGUGACUACAACGUCACCAGGGACCAGUGCAAGGAGCUCGGAUGCUGUUUCUACAAGGGCGUCUGCUACAAGAAGGUUGUCCCCAUUUACGUGCAGAUGUUCUCCACCCUGAUUGUGCUUGUGACCGGGAUCAUCAUCAUCACCAUCAUUUACAGACCCCUCUGAAAACCCUCCAUGAAGAAGACUGAGGGGCAAGUAGAAGCCCCAACGACCAACAGUGGCAGUGCCGCGUCCCGGUGAGCACCUUCAGUGUGUGAGACAGAGAGCAUCUGUGAGGAAAAAAAAUAAAAGCAUUUUCUUGA
rnacentral:lncRNA from 1 species